rnacentral:rRNA from 1 species
CAAUACUGAGUGGCAAACGGGUGAGUAUAAUGUAGGAAUCUACCUUUUGGUUUGGAAUAACACGGGGAAACUUGUGCUAAUACCGAAUAAGCCUUUACGGGGAAAGUUUUAAUUCCGAAAGAUGAGCCUGCACUUGAUUAGCUAGUUGGUAAGGUAAAAGCUUACCAAGGCAACGAUCAAUAGCUGUUCUUAGAGGAAGACCAGCCACAUUGGGACUGAGACACGGCCCAGACUCCUACGGGAGGCAGCAGUGGGGAAUCUUGCACAAUGGGGGAAACCCUGAUGCAGCGAUGCCGCGUGAGUGAAGAAGGCCCUUGGGUUGUAAAACUCUUUCGUCGGGGAAGAAAAUGACUGUACCCGAAUAAGAAGGUCCGGCUAACUUCGUGCCAGCAGCCGCGGUAAUAUGAAGGGACCUAGCGUAGUUCGGAAUUACUGGGCUUAAAGAGCUCGUAGGUGGUUAAAAAAGUUGAUGGUGAAAUCCCAAGGCUCAACCUUGGAACUGCCAUCAAAACUUUUUAGCUAGAGUGUGAUAGAGGUAAGUGGAAUUUCUAGUGUAGAGGUGAAAUUCGUAGAUAUUAGAAAGAACACCAAAUGCGAAGGCAACUUACUGGAUCAUUACUGACACUGAGGAGCGAAAGCAUGGGUAGCGAAGAGGAUUAGAUACCCUCGUAGUCCAUGCCGUAAACGAUGUGUGCUAGACGUUGGAAAUAUAUUUUUCAGUGUCGCAGCGAAAGCAUUAAGCACACCGCCUGGGGAGUACGACCGCAAGGUUAAAACUCAAAUGAAUUGACGG